UCUCCAGCACCGUACAGGUUUCCCCGAAUACAUAGGUUAACGAGGCGAACCGGGGGAACUGAAACAUCUAAGUACCCCGAGGAAAAGAAAUCAACCGAGAUUCCCCCAGUAGCGGCGAGCGAACGGGGAGCAGCCCAGAGUCUGAAUCAGCU
rnacentral:rRNA from 1 species